ACUAUUGGCUGGGGACAAUUUAGUGUUUCUUGGGAACGAAGAUCAGUGAUGCUGCAACAGAAAUCGUCCGCCCCCCUCCCCACCCCCCUCCCAAAUUCGAUAAUUCGAUAAAUAAUGACCGGUUCCUUGGACUUUAUAGAUACACUGCGAAAUCUCUAUAUUCCCUCUGUUCAUGUAGAGUUUUAUGUCCUUUUAUGGCUGUGAUUUCAAUGAUAAGAGAACUAAAAAGGCUCCGUCAUUGAGAACGACACGAAAAGUGAACUUAUUGGAGCGAUUGGAUAAACAAUUUAACAAUCAUUUUAUUGGAAAAAUCCUUAUCAGAAAAACACUUAAGCUAGAAGGCUUAAGCACCUUUCUAGAGCUUUCUAUCGCUGAGAUUCCUUCGUCUAUCGUGUUUGAAAGCAUCUCUCAUCAGUGAUUACUGAGCUGAUCUUGUCAAAAGCCAUAAUACAACAAAAGAAUGUUGUCUGUGUUUAAUACCCGCUUGAGGCAAAUUUGCUGCUUUUAAAACCUUGAUACCCUUAAACGACCUUUGUCUUUGAGCUGAACAAMAGUCAGGGCACUGCUAACUCACAGAUUGAAUUGGAUUUAAAGUAUUAGCCUAGGUUUUGCGGAGGGGAGGAAAACUGGAGAACCCAGAGAAAAACUAGUGUUUUCAUUCGAAUCACGGGAGAGAAUGGCUGUGGUAAAACAGUGAUUCCAAAAUGGAAAUAAGGAAGGAUUCAAAUGAGGCGGGGAAUUGUCUUGUGAAGUGAAGUGGAUUGCCCAGCAGCAUCAAGGGUCAUGUCAUCAUUCUUGCUUGACAAUCAACUUGAAAAUAAAAUCAUAAUAAAAAAUAUAAAUAUUUA